UAAAGCAGCCAUAUCACCCUGCAACUCACAACUGGCAACCCACUGAAGCUCAGCAGGUGUGAGCCUGGUCAGUACCUGGAUGGGAGACCUCCUGGGAAACACUGCAGUUGCUGCUGGAA
ensembl:rRNA 5S_rRNA 5S ribosomal RNA